CUAAGGUGGGAGAUAACCCCGGGAAACUGGGGAUAAUACCCCAUAAUCUAUGGAAGCUGGAAUGCUCUAUAGUUGAAAGAUUUAUCGCCUUAGGAUGGGUCUGCGGCCGAUUAGGUAGUUGUUGGGGUAACGGCCCAACAAGCCUUUGAUCGGUACGGGUUGUGGGAGCAAGAGCCCGGAGAUGGAUUCUGAGACACGAAUCCAGGCCCUACGGGGCGCAGCAGGCGCGAAAACUUUACAAUGCGGGAAACCGUGAUAAGGGAACUCCGAGUGCCCGUAAACGCGGGCUGUCCAUCUGCUUAAAAAACAGGUGAAGAAAGGGCCGGGCAAGACCGGUGCCAGCCGCCGCGGUAAUACCGGCGGCUCGAGUGGUGGCCACUAUUACUGGGCUUAAAGCGUCCGUAGCUUGGUUGUUAAGUCUCUUGGGAAAUCUGUCGGCUUAACCGACAGGCGUUUAAGGGAUACUGGCAAUCUAGGGACCGGGAGAGGUGAGAGGUACUUCAGGGGUAGGAGUGAAAUCCUGUAAUCCUUGGGGGACCACCUGUGGCGUAGGCGUCUCACCAGAACGGCUCCGACAGUGAGGGACGAAAGCUGGGGGAGCAAACCGGAUUAGAUACCCGGGUAGUCCCAGCCGUAAACGAUGCGCGUUAGGUGUAUCGGUGACCACGAGUCACCGAGGUGCCGAAGGGAAACCGUGAAACGUGCCGCCUGGGAAGUACGGUCGCAAGGCUGAAACUUAAAGGAAUUGGCGGGGGAGCACCACAACAGGUGGAGCCUGCGGUUUAAUCGGACUCAACGCCGGAAACCUCACCGGAUAAGACAGCGGGAUGAUAGCCAGGCUGAAGACUUUGCUUGACUAGCUGAGAGGUGGUGCAUGG
rnacentral:rRNA from 1 species